UUCGCAAUGCCCGAAAGGGUGACGAAGCGACGCCGCGUGCGGGAAGAAGGCCUUCGGGUUGUAAACCGCUGUCGGGAGUUAGGAAAUGCAAGGAUGUUAAUAGCGUCUUUGCUUGACUAAGGCUCCGGAGGAAGCCACGGCUAGCUCUGUGCCAGCAGCCGCGGUAAUACAGAGGCGGCAAGCGUUGUUCGGAAUUAUUGGGCGUAAAGAGCACGUAGGCGGCCGUGUAAGUCGGUUGUGAAAGCCUUCCGCUCAACGGGAGAACGGCAUCCGAUACUGCAUGGCUCGAGUGCGGGAGGGGAGAGUGGAACUUCUGGUGGAGCGGUGAAAUGCGUAGAUAUCAGAAGGAACGUCGGCGGCGAAAGCGACUCUCUGGCCUAUUACUGACACUGAGUGUGCGAAAGUUAGGGGAGCAAACGGGAUUAGAUACCCCGGUAGUCCUAACUGUAAACGAUGGGCACUAAGUAGAGGGGUUUU
rnacentral:rRNA from 1 species